UACGGAGGAGCUAGCGUUGUUCGGAAUUACUGGGCGUAAAGCGCACGUAGGCGGCUUUGUAAGUUAGAGGUGAAAGCCUGGAGCUCAACUCCAGAAUUGCCUUUAAGACUGCAUCGCUUGAAUCCAGGGAGAGGUGAGUGGAAUUCCGAGUGUAGAGGUGAAAUUCGAUAGAUAUUCGGAAGAACACCAGUGGCGAAGGCGGCUCACUGGACUGGUAAUUGACGC
rnacentral:rRNA from 1 species